rnacentral:rRNA from 1 species
AUUGAACGCUGGCGGCAUGCUUUACACAUGCAAGUCGGACGGCAGCACAGAGAAGCUUGCUUCUUGGGUGGCGAGUGGCGAACGGGUGAGUAAUGUAUUGGAACGUACCGAGUAAUGGGGGAUAACCAAUCGAAAGAUUGGCUAAUACCGCAUACGUCCUGAGGGGGAAAGCGGGGGAUCUUCGGACCUCGCGUUAUUCGAGCGGCCAAUAUCUGAUUAGCUGGUUGGUGGGGUAAAGGCCUACCAAGGCGACGAUCAGUAGCGGGUCUGAGAGGAUGAUCCGCCACACUGGGACUGAGACACGGCCCAGACUCCUACGGGAGGCAGCAGUGGGGAAUUUUGGACAAUGGGCGCAAGCCUGAUCCAGCCAUGCCGCGUGUCUGAAGAAGGCCUUCGGGUUGUAAAGGACUUUUGUCAGGGAAGAAAAGGCUUUUGAUAAUACCAGGAGCUGAUGACGGACCUGAAGAAUAAGCACCGCA